AACGAACGCUGGCGGCGCGUCUUAAGCAUGCAAGUCGAACGGCAAGAGAGGAGCUUGCUUCUCUCCUAGAGUGGCGGACUGGUGAGGAACACGUGGGUAAUCUACCCUUAACAUGGGGAUAGCUGCUAGAAAUAGCAGGUAAUACCGAAUACACUCGGCAUAUCACAAGAGGUGUUGAGGAAAGGAAGCUACGGCUUCGCUUGAGGAUGAGCUUGCGUCCCAUUAGCUAGUUGGUGAGGUAAAGACCCACCAAGGCGACGAUGGGUAUCCGGCCUGAGAGGGUGAACGGACACAUUGGGACUGAGAUACGGCCCAAACUCCUACGGGAGGCAGCAGCUAAGAAUAUUCCGCAAUGGACGGAAGUCUGACGGAGCGACGCCGCGUGGAUGAAGAAGGCUGAAAAGUUGUAAAAUCCUUUUGUUGAUGAAGAAUAAGGGUGAGAGGGAAUGCUCAUCUGAUGACGGUAAUCGACGAAUAAGCCCCGGCUAAUUACGUG
rnacentral:rRNA from 1 species